rnacentral:lncRNA from 1 species
UUUUGUUCUUUAGUAGAAGGAUAACAUGACAUAGCAGGAAUAAUACUGCCUUUUCUUUCUGGCAUGGAUCAAGAGAAAAGAAAAUACAAGAAAACAGAGAGAAGAUCCUAUCUGCGACAAUUAAGAGCACUCUAAGAGGAAAACACAUCCCACCACACAAGGCAAGGUACUUCUAUAGAAGGGUGAGCCCUCACAGAUGGAGCAAUGGUGCACGCACACCUGAACAAGGGAGGGGAAGGAGUUCUUAUCCCUGAUGCAUGUGGCCCCUGCUGCUGUGUCCUUCCCCUAUUGGCUAAGAUGAUUUAUAAUCAGCUAUAUAAUUUUGACACGUGCUCUCAAACUCAGGCUUCUGACAGCUUUGGAGAUUGUGACAUUGGAAUAAAGGAAAAACGUACAGGACUCAUGAAGAGCUGAAAUGUUCACAAAUAUCAAGCAAAAGUCAAUGAAAUUUAUUUUGAGCUAUUUACAGCGUUUAAUAAUUGAGCAAGCUAUACUCCUAUAAACAAAAUUUGGAGCAUGUUUGUCUCUCUCUGUCUGCCUGGCAUCUACAGAAUUUGGAAACUAGUUUCUUUCCCAGAUUUUCUAAACUUUCCAGAGAAAAUGGUCUUCUCCCUGGCUCAGCAAGAAGAUGAACUUUAAACACUGAGAAACUGGUCAUCUCCCUGGCUCAACCAGAAGAUGAACUUUAAACACUACUCUCAAUGACUUGAUGUUCCCAUCACUACUCCUGUCAUAAAGGGAGGGGACUCAGAUAUUGAGAAUUUUAUGAUAGUGUGAACUGUCUGGUAUGUCAUUUAAGUAAGCCCGUUGCUGACAUAUUUUCCAUGUUAUUAGAAAGAGCUGAAGAGAGGGUUUGAGAUGGCUUCUUUAUUUUUUGUCUUUUGGGAAUUAAAGGAACCUGGUUCAACAAGGGCCUACACCUAAGUCUCUUGUUGUACCAGAGUACAAUUUAGGACUGCUCCUGAGGAAGGAAUUAGCUAGAAAUCUAGAGAGUAAGGGUAACAGAUUUACAAUAGAAUAACAGCCUCAGUAUUUUUGGUUCCUCUCCAGUAAAGAUCACAAAGAAUAUUGCUAAAUCGCUAAAACACCUUUGCAAUAACGUAAGGGCUUACAACUAUACACCAAUGUAGCUCAGUUACUAAACUGGAGUAAAAUAAUUUCUCUUGUGUAGAAAAAUUGGUUGGCUGUGGUUUUAUAGCAGAUUUGCAAUUAUUAAUAGUUAUGCCAAUAAUCGUUUAACAGUGCAUAUGUUAAUAUGUAUGGAAAGACAAUGUGUAUAGACAGAUGUGUAAAAUUGAAAAAUAAACAUAUAACAAGAGAGAAACAUCUAUCGAACAGACAAUAUACAUACACAUUAAACACAACAGCAGUUUUAGUGACCACAAUAUUUAUUUCUCAUUUUUACAUUGGUUACUUUACUGACAACUGAAAAUGACAGUUGGCAAUGCAGCUAACAGUUUCAAUAAAAGUAUAAAACAAAAGACUGUGUACAAAGUACGUGUCUUUCUGCUUUUGUAAUCUUCCGUUGGAAAAAAUUUACACACCUAAGUAACCAUCUGUUUUCUUCAAGAAAAAAUCAUUCUUAUUUCUCUCUCUCAUCUUGAAAACAGCUGUCAGCCAGGAGGGCAGAGCUGAAAUUUAUUGCCACAUCACAUGAAGCAUAGAACAGACUCCGCUACUCCUUGAGAUUCAAAACUUUGCCUCUCACAAAGUUACCUUUUAUUUUCCUCUUGUUUGUCACUCAUCUCCCCUAGUGUGCUCUUUUUAUUUCUUUUACUAUUAAUAAUAAAAUCUGUGGAUGACUGUA